AUCACGGGAGCAGAGCACCAGUACUCAUCUCUCUGCUUCCUAACUACAGAUGCACUGUGACCCUGACUCAGGCUCCUGCUGCUGAGCCAUCCUUGCUAUGACGGAAGAUACCAUCCAACUGUGAGCCCAAACAUUGCAGGGGCCCAAACAGCAAACACCAGUCCUUGUGAAGACGCAUCUAGACACCACAAACGCAUCCUGCCCCGAAGCUGCUCUCUGGGAGGGGUUACUCCUCUUGGUCUGAUCUUGGCUGUCUGGGACAGAGCUGCUGACCAUGCAUAGGAACACAGAUGCAUAAGUGCCCUGAGUUAGCAUGGUUCCAGACCAGAUCUGCUCCCAGAAACUGGCUGCUGAUUCUGAAACCAGGGAGAGAAGGAGGCUAAAUUGGAGGAGAAAAGGAGAGUGGACAUGCAGUCAGGGGUCCUAGUCUCUUACAUCACUGUCAAAAUGUGCCAUCAGGAACUUUCCCAGUUUCACCCAGGGACAAUGUACCCUCUGCUCAUUCUAAUAGCAUAUUAAA